rnacentral:rRNA from 1 species
UACGGGGGGGGCAAGCGUUGUUCGGAAUUACUGGGCGUAAAGGGCUCGUAGGUGGCCAACUAAGUCAGACGUGAAAUCCCUCGGCUUAACCGGGGAACUGCGUCUGAUACUGGAUGGCUUGAGUUUGGGAGAGGGAUGCGGAAUUCCAGGUGUAGCGGUGAAAUGCGCAGAUAUCAGGAGGAACACCCGUAGCGAAGGCGGCACUCUGGGCCGAUACUGACACUGAGGAGCGAAAGCGUGGGGAGCGAACAGG